rnacentral:ncRNA from 1 species
CCGUAACCUGUUGAGUAUCCGUUUGUUAUUAAAUAUGGGCCUCGUGCUCAUCCUGGCAACAGGAACGACCAUAAAGAAGCCGUCGAGAGGUAUCGGAAGAGUUUUCUUUUCUGUUUUAUAGCCGUACUACCAUGGAAGUCUUUCGCAGAGAGAUAUGGUAGAUGGGCUAGAAGAGCAUGACAUAUACUGUUGUGUCGAUAUUUUCUCCUCGGACCUUGAAAAUUUAUGGUGGGGAUACGCAAACUUCUCAACAGGCCGUACCAAUAUCCGCAGCUGGUCUCCAAGGUGAAGAGUCUCUAGUCGAUAGAAUAAUGUAGGUAAGGGAAGUCGGCAAAUUAGAUCCGUAACUUCGGGAUAAGGAUUGGCUCUGAAGAUUGAGAUAGUCGGGCAUGAUUGGGAAACAAUAACAUGGUUUAUGUGCUCGUUCUGGGUAAAUAGAGUUUCUAUCAUUUAUGAUAGUUAUUUGUUCCCCGGAUAGUUAGUUACGUAGCCAAUUGUGGAACUUUCUUGCUAAAAUUUUUAAGAAUACUAAUUUUUAAUUAGUUCUUUUAAAUUAUAACGAUUAUCAAUUAACAAUCAAUUCAGAACUGGCACGGACUUGGGGAAUCCGACUGUCUAAUUAAAACAAAGCAUUGUGAUGGCCCUAGCGGGUGUUGACACAAUGUGAUUUCUGCCCAGUGCUCUGAAUGUCAAAGUGAAGAAAUUCAAGUAAGCGCGGGUCAACGGCGGGAGUAACUAUGACUCUCUUAAGAGGAGGUUUUAGUACGUAGGCGCUGUGGAACUUUAUAGUUCUGAUGAUGCAGUGAAUCGUGCAUGCGGCAAUUCACCCGUAGUAAGGUGACCGUAUCUUUCGAAGAUUUCCUCCCUCUGCGAUCAAAAAAAAAAAAAAAAAAAAAAAUAGCCAAAUGCCUCGUCAUCUAAUUAGUGACGCGCAUGAAUGGAUUAACGAGAUUCCUACUGUCCCUAUCUACUAUCUAGCGAAACCACAGCCAAGGGAACGGGCUUGGAAUAAUUAGCGGGGAAAGAAGACCCUUUUGAGCUUGACUCUAAUCUGGCAGUGUAAGGAGACAUAAGAGGUGUAGAAUAAGUGGGAGAUAUUAUUCCUUGUGUUUGAUAUCGCCAAUGAAAUACCACUACUCUUAUUGUUUCCUUACUUACUUGAUUAAAUGGAACGUGUAUCAUUUCCUAGCCAUUAUACGGAUAUAUUUAUUAUAUCUUAUGGUAUUGGGUUUUGAUGCAAGCUUCUUGAUCAAAGUAUCACGAGUUUGUUAUAUAAUCGCAAACAAAUUCUUUAAUGAGAGAGUGCAUUUAUGUAUUUUUAAUUUGAAUAUUUGGUAUAACUCCAAUUACUCAGUAUGAUCCAAUUCAGGACAUUGCCAGGUAGGAGUUUGACUGGGGCGGUACAUCUCUCAA